rnacentral:lncRNA from 1 species
GGCUUCGGUUCGAGGGUGGCGGACAUGGCUGCGUCGUGUACGUGGGGGAGAAGGACGACCGUGCACCCCGGCGUUCUCUGCGUGGUGGUAGUCAUGCGCCGUGCCACAUCGAGACUGGGUGUAGCACGGGCGGCCGUUGUGGCUGGGAGGUUAUCUGCUCAUCGUCCAUCUGGAGAGGAAGCAGAGUGACUCAUGACGUUACAUAGUCGCCUACGAGCCAAUGAUGAGCAAACGAGGCAGCGGUAAGCAAGUCCCCCGUUGGAAUCUGAAUCCUCUAAUUCUUUCCUCAAUUACUGACAUACAGACUAGUUAAUUUUGUAUGGCUGGCUGCUGAACCUGUUAUUGCAUUACCUGCAUCCAGCAACAUGGAAUUUUAUAUCCUUCAGAAUUGCAUCGUUGUCCAACAAUAUACUUCAGAUUUUCCCAUAAUUAUGGCUUAAAUGUCAUACAGUCUAAUUUGGAUACCUAGUUUGUUUUCUUGAAGCUUAUAGAUGUAGGCACAAUCUAUAUUCAGUAGGUGCUAGAUCUUCACACUUAAAGAUUCUGGAUAUAUCCUCUUCUCUGUUUUUGCUGUUUUACAACAGAAACAUUUACGCAUAUGUAAACUGCAGAAUCGUGCAGCUGUAGGCUUGCAGCAGGUUGGCGGGCGAAUGGUCAUAAAGAGAAGAUAACAGGCAUGUCGAGUGCUGUGAGUAUUCCAUUCAUUUAGACAACUACGUUUCCAAGAUCAUCAAGAGGUGUGUUGUUUUCCUUGAGAAAAUCAUCAAUUUGUUUUAGCAUUGGUCAAAUCUGUUUGUUGAUCUGAGAUUUUGUAUUCUUGCAUCACCAGAUCAUAGUGUGACAGAUGGGAGAACACACACACACCUCAAUGGAUGACAUAUUAUAAUUACGGAGACUAGUUGUAAGGAUAAUGGAGUGCAAUUUUCUGAUUCAGUGAUCUGCAGGUUUGAAGAACUAAUAUUGUGUAGAAAAUGGCAAUCGAAUUAUUUAGAUUUAAUAAAUUAGAUUUAAGGAUAAAUUAGUUGGUGCAUUUCAUUAUCAAGGACUAAUAGUAUCAAUAUACUAGGAGCAAUAUGUAGCAAACAAUUCAAAAUUUAAGGAAUGAUCCAUCUUACCCCUCAAGAAGAAGGAAUAAUCCAUUUUAAUAUGUUCCUUUAUAUAUGCGGAGAACUUCUUAGUAGUUCGUAUGUCAAGAUGUUUGGAUACUGAAUAAUGGUGCUCUUUCUAAUAAUCAGGCAGACUGUACCCAUUGCCAGUUUAUGUGUGUCUGUAAUUUUUUUGUGGUAUAUCGAGCAAUUGUCCUUGAAAAAUUGAAAUAACUGAGAUAUCCACAGAAAUGAAAGCUGCAGCCUGCAGCGAUAUGGUUCCUAAUUCAUAUAACGUAGAGAGGACGUUAGGAGUGGAAUGGUCAUCACUUAUUGUAGCAGUUUUCUGAAAAAGUAACAUCUUUUCAUGCAGUGACAUUAAUGUGGCCAUUGAGAAUUUGAGAAGUAAUUUUCAGGAAAAGUGUAUCUUUCAUCUUGCAUAAAGAUUGCAUCCUUAACUUCUCUUUCUUUCCAGUUCUACUAAUUUUCUGUUUGGUAGGUGGGUACCAUAUCAUUUUUUUUAUUUAGGAAACAUUAUUUAGGGUUAAGUCUUGGUUGGUGAACUGUUCCUCAGCUAUGAACUCUUUUUUACAUUCACCAAAUGUUAUUGGAACUAUGUAUAGUUCCUCUUGAGCGUGAUUAUUCAACAAUUUAGAACUGUAAAUGAUAUGUUCUUGAAGAAUAUAAAGUAAAAGUAGUAUUGUCAUGUACUUUGGUUUAACCUACAGUGUAAUUUUUGUUAACACAUAGUCUGUGUUUCACUAAUGUGAACUAAGACUUUCAUGUACUGUGUAUGACAGCUGCAUUUGUACCGACUGAUUAUAAUGUGCUUUGCUGCAUUUGUACCGACUGAUUAUAAUGUGCUUUGCUUCUCAUCGCACAACUGAUAAUUUUCUGAAAUACUCACUCUAUUUUAAUCAAGGCGUUGCAGGUGUUGUCACUGUAGGAGGUAAGUUUUGCAGCCAAAAUGCACCACUGAUUGCGUCUGGACAAUCGAGGAAUAGCACAAUAAAUUCUUCUUCUUUUCCAUUAACUUGCAGCUUAGGAUUUGGCUAAUAUUUUGCAUCUUAUACUAUUAUAAUUUUGAUGACUAGUUCUAAUAUAGAAUAGCCUCCUUUUGUCUGUAACAGGUACUUGAUUGUUUGAGUAGCCACUCGUAGGGUCUGCUUUUUUCUAGUAGUUUCAUGCCAGGUUCUGUAAAGUUCAUUUGAUAAUUUUGCUUGGUAAAUGAAAAGGUUCAUUUUUUUUCAAUGACUGAACAAAAACUUGACCACCGACAGUUCUAGUCCUUUACUGUUUGGACUCUACGAUAUUAAUUGACUUCCCUAAACAUGUGUAACCGGCCCUGAUUUAUUGCUUAACUUACUUGGGAAGUGAAACACAAACCAAAGGAACUCUGAAUAAGCAUAGCUCAUAGCUCAGCUCUAAAAUUUUACUGUGCCAAUCUUGAGAUAUCUGCAUGGAGUUCUUUUUCUACAUACUUUUAGUCAUUCUGAAUUUUUCAUAUGACCUUCCUGAAAUUGUGUGCACUUUGUUUUUUCUACAUGAAUCCUGUACAAUACAUGUACUUGUCAAUUGACUUAAUUUCCUCUUCAGGUUGUCAACGUUGCUGCAAGGCUGGACAAGUCACCUUUUUGAAACCAUUUUGCUUCACUCGUUUUGAAGACCAUAUACAAGUUUCAUUUUUACUUUAUAUUUUAUUGACCAGAAAGGCUACAAAGUACGGGUGCUAAAUUAGAAUGGACUUUUCAUAUGUAGCCAGUAUGUUGCACAUAUCUUACUUGUGGAAAUGAUUUAUUACAAGGGUUGUAAUAUUAUAAAUGUGAAGGACAUAUGUUGAAUUUUCUAUUGUUGGGUAUGAAUGGAUUUGAAUGCUAAGUUGAGAUAUCUGUUUAUGCCUAUGUUUUAAUUCCAAAAUAUGCCCCUAUUUAGCCA